CUGCCAGGUACAAUAUAGGAUACCCAAUUAAAUUUGAAUUUCAGAUAAAUAACAAAUAAUUUGGGCCAUAAUUAUGCUAAAACAUUAUUUGUUGUUUAUCUAAACUCCAAUUUAUGCAAUUUA
rnacentral:miRNA from 1 species